CUGUUAUCAAAAUGGCCGUUAUGGAGCAAGUGGUGGAAUUGGUGUUUACUGGGGCCCAGAUAACUCACAAAAUGUUUCAAAAAGGCUGGAAGGGAGGCAGACCAAUCAAAGGGCUGAAAUUGAGGCUGCUUGUACAGCUGUGGAACAGGCCAGGAGUCAAAAUAUCACAAGACUUAAUAUUCAUACGGACAGCAAGUUUACAAUAAAC